rnacentral:rRNA from 1 species
UACAGAGACUGCAAGCGUUAUUCGGAUUCACUGGGCGUAAAGGGUGCGCAGGCGGUUUUGUAAGACCGAUGUGAAAUCCCCGGGCUCAACCUGGGAACUGCAUUGGUGACUGCAAGGCUUGAGUGUGUCAGAGGGAGGUGGAAUUCCGCGUGUAGCAGUGAAAUGCGUAGAUAUGCGGAGGAACACCGAUGGCGAAGGCAGCCUCCUGGGAUAACACUGACGCUCAUGCACGAAAGCGUGGGGAGCAAACAGG